UACGAAGGGGGCUAGCGUUGUCCGGAAUCAUUGGGCGUAAAGCGCGCGUAGGUGGCCUCGUAAGUCCGCUGUGAAAGUCAAAGGCUCAACCUUUGAAAGCCGGUGGAUACUGUGAGGCUAGAGUACGGAAGAGGCGAGUGGAAUUCCUGGUGUAGCGGUGGAAUGCGCAGAUAUCAGGAGGAACACCAAUAGCGAAGGCAGCUCGCUGGGACGUUACUGACACUGAGGCGCGAAAGCGUGGGGAGCGAACAGG
rnacentral:rRNA from 1 species